rnacentral:rRNA from 1 species
UCAGGCCUAACACAUGCAAGUCGAACGGUAACAUUUCUAGCUUGCUAGAAGAUGACGAGUGGCGGACGGGUGAGUAAUGCUUGGGAACUUGCCUUUGCGAGGGGGAUAACAGUUGGAAACGACUGCUAAUACCGCAUAAUGUCUACGGACCAAACGGGGCUUCGGCUCCGGCGCAAAGAGAGGCCCAAGUGAGAUUAGCUAGUUGGUAAGGUAACGGCUUACCAAGGCGACGAUCUCUAGCUGUUCUGAGAGGAAGAUCAGCCACACUGGGACUGAGACACGGCCCAGACUCCUACGGGAGGCAGCAGUGGGGAAUAUUGCACAAUGGGGGAAACCCUGAUGCAGCCAUGCCGCGUGUGUGAAGAAGGCCUUCGGGUUGUAAAGCACUUUCAGUUGUGAGGAAAAGUUAGUAGUUAAUACCUGCUAGCCGUGACGUUAACAACAGAAGAAGCACCGGCUAACUCCGUGCCAGCAGCCGCGGUAAUACGGAGGGUGCGAGCGUUAAUCGGAAUUACUGGGCGUAAAGCGCACGCAGGCGGUUUGUUAAGCUAGAUGUGAAAGCCCCGGGCUCAACCUGGGAUGGUCAUUUAGAACUGGCAGACUAGAGUCUUGGAGAGGGGAGUGGAAUUCCAGGUGGAGCGGUGAAAUGCGAAGAUAUCUGGAGGAACAUCAGUGGCGAAGGCGACUCCCUGGCCAAAGA